UGGAAUUUGGCCAGUAACAAACCUGCAUGAUUUUAUCAGCACAAAGAAAACACAGAAACUUGAGUGAAACAACAAAUGCUUGAGAAAAAAAAAACUGAAAGAAGAUGAAAUGUGUGCUAAGAUAAUGUAACUUUAGCUUAGGCAUUCUCUAGAACCAAACACAAUUGCUAUAGCUGUCUUCCAAUCAAAUUCUAAUCGCUUGGUUGAGAUUGAGAAGGCCUGAACCAUGGUUAGUUAAUUCAAACUGUACCAUGAGGGUUCCUUCUCUUCAAAACUAUCAGCUAUGGAGAUGGCUUUUUUGGGAACUAUGAUGCUUUGGACAUAAACUUGAUUGAUGUCGGAUUUCUUCAUGGCAACUGUGUAGCUUCUGAAAUGAGAGGAGCAACAGAAAUCCUUAUUAGAUGAUGGAGGGAAAGUGAGCGUGAAAUGAGAAAGGUGGUGGGGACUGAGUCUAAUAAAUGUGAGAAACUAGUCUAUGGCUGGAAUGGGAGUAGUGUUAGGUGAGUAGUUUCAGUCCCUGUAACAAGAUUUAACUACUUCAAAAUAUUCGAUGGGGAUCACUCAGGUUGUCUGAGAGGAGAAUGUUGGCCAUUACCGGUCAAUUCUCUACCACGUAUUUGAGCACUGAACCAAUAGCUUAUUGUGUGGUUCUCAGUUCUAACCUGAAGUUUUCUUUCUUUCUAGGCCCUGUAACAAGAUUUAACUACUUCAAAAUAUUCGAUGGGGAUCACUCAGGUUGUCUGAGAGGAGAAUGUUGGCCAUUACCGGUCAAUUCUCUACCACGUAUUUGAGCACUGAACCAAUAGCUUAUUGUGUGGUUCUCAGUUCUAACCUGAAGUUUUCUUUCUUUCUAGG
rnacentral:misc_RNA from 1 species